GUUGCGCGCUACGGACUGGCGAACCCGCGAGAGUAUUCUAGGCCGCUUGUGUGAUCAAACAGAUCCAUUCCGUUCUUGGGGAACAUCAUCGAGAUUAGACGUGGGCUCUCAACUUUAUUCCAGUGGCGGACGGGGGUCCUUUGCAUCUGUAUUGAGGUGCCGAUAGCCGCAUUCACGCCCUUUACAGGGACGGCGGAGAGCGUGGCUCUAAUCCAGCUCGUCUUUUCUGCUGACGUCUACAGUCUUGCGAGCAGCUGCGGACCCCGAG
rnacentral:lncRNA from 1 species